AUUCGUUCUCGGUCCGCGACUGAUGACGUCUGACUAGAUCACAAUGGCCAAUUCGCGGAGUCGCACUCCUUGAACGCUCCAUAGCAGUCGCGACCAAGACCCCGCGGGGUCAAGAUCGCGGGGGUCGCAUACCCAAGCAUCGCGGGAGUUCCUCGGACAUGAACGCUAAAAGAUCGCCAUAACAUGACGUCUGCAGGGAUGGGCGUGACCAGAGAUUCAUUGCCAAUCAAGGGUCCAACUUCGACAGUGGGAGCCAGCAGUGGGUCGCAUGCACAAGCGGGCGUGGCGGAAGGUAAAAAUUCCUCGUGUUCACUGCCGGGCACGUUGUCAAUUCUGCCUAG